rnacentral:rRNA from 1 species
CGGACGGGUGAGUAACGCGUGGAAAACCUGCCGUAUACUGGGGGAUAACACUUAGAAAUAGGUGCUAAUACCGCAUAAGCGCACAGCUUCGCAUGAAGUGGUGUGAAAAACUCUGGUGGUAUACGAUGGUUCCGCGUCUGAUUAGCUUGUUGGUGGGGUAAUGGCUCACCAAGGCGACGAUCAGUAGCCGGCCUGAGAGGGUGAACGGCCACAUUGAGACUGAGACACGGCCCAAACUCCUACGGGAGGCAGCAG